GUGAACGCUGGCGGUAGGCCUAACACAUGCAAGUCGAACGGCAGCACAGUAAGAGCUUGCUCUUACGGGUGGCGAGUGGCGGACGGGUGAGGAAUACAUCGGAAUCUACUUUUUCGUGGGGGAUAACGUAGGGAAACUUACGCUAAUACCGCAUACGACCUACGGGUGAAAGCAGGGGAUCUUCGGACCUUGCGCGAUUGAAUGAGCCGAUGUCGGUUUAGCUAGUUGGCGGGGUAAAGGCCCACCAAGGCGACGAUCCGUAGCUGGUCUGAGAGGAUGAUCAGCCACACUGGAACUGAGACACGGUCCAGACUCCUACGGGAGGCAGCAGUGGGGAAUAUUGGACAAUGGGCGCAAGCCUGAUCCAGCCAUACCGCGUGGGUGAAGAAGGCCUUCGGGUUGUAAAGCCCUUUUGUUGGGAAGGAAAAGCAGCAGGUUAAUACCCCGCUGUUCUGACGGUACCCAAAGAAUAAGCACCGGCUAACUUCGUG
rnacentral:rRNA from 1 species